rnacentral:rRNA from 1 species
GGUAUCGCCGUUAGUCAUGUGCAAAUAUGGAUAGCUGUUUUAGCCGUCUUUAUUGACUGGUUUAUAAGAGUUAUCAGAUAUCACUUUGAUUAAAUUAGAGUGCUUAAAGCAAGUGUGUUACUUGGAUAUAAAUGCAUGGAAUGAUGGAAUAUGUUGUUAUUCUAUUUGUUGGUUUUUGAAUGAUAAAAUGAUUGAAAGGAACUGUUGGGGGCAUUCGUAUUGUUGUGAGAGAGGUGAAAUUCUUAGACCACAGCAAGACGAACUACUGCGAAAGCAUUUGCCAAGAAUGUUUUCAUUGAUCAAGAACGAAAGUUAGAGGUUCGAAGGCGAUCAGAUACCGCCCUAGUUCUAACCAUAAACUAUGCCAACUAGCAAUUUGCUUUGUAUUUUUUAUGACUAAGUGAGAGGCCACGGGAAACCUAAGUAGGGUUAUGGGGGAAGUAUGGUUGCAAAGCUGAAACUUAAAGGAAUUGACGGAAGGGCACCACCAGGAGUGGAGCCUGCGGCUUAAUUUGACUCAACACGGGAAAACUUACCUGGUCCUGACACUAGAAGGAUUGACAGAUUGAUAGCUCUUUCUUGAUUUGGUGGAUGGUGGUGCAUGGCCGUUCUUAGUUGGUGGAGUGAUAUGUCUGGUUAAUUCCGAUAACGAACGAGACUCUAGCCUAUUAAAUAAUACACGGAAUUUUAUCUUCCGCGGUAUUUCUUAGUGGGAUCAAGCG